CCUACGGGAGGCAGCAGUGAGGAAUAUUGGUCAAUGGGCGGGAGCCUGAACCAGCCAAGUCGCGUGAGGGAAGAAGGUACUGAGUAUUGUAAACUUCUUUUACCAGGGGACAAAGGCGGCCACGGGUGGCCGUAAGAGGGUACCUGGAGAAAAAGCACCGGCUAACUCCGUGCCAGCAGCCGCGGUAAUACGGGGAUGCGAGCGUUAUCCGGAUUUAUUGGGUUUAAAGGGGGCGAAGGCGGCGUGUCAAGUCGGCGGUUAAAUGUCGGGGCUCAACCCCGGCCGGCCGUUGAAACUGGCGUGCUCGAGUUGGAGAGAGGUAUGCGGAAUUCGUGGUGUAGCGGUGAAAUGCAUAGAUAUCACGCAGAACUCCGAUUGCGAAGGCAGCAUACCGGCGCCCGACUGACGCUGAGGCACGAAAGCGUGGGGAUCGAACAGGAUUAGAUACCCGGGUAGUC
rnacentral:rRNA from 1 species